rnacentral:tRNA from 1 species
UCAGAGAGUAGUUUAUUUGAAAAUACCAGCUUUGGGAGCUGGAGAUGGAGGUUUGAGCCCUCCUUUUCUGAU